rnacentral:rRNA from 1 species
UCAGACGUGAUCACCCGCUGAACUUAAGCAUAU